rnacentral:rRNA from 1 species
AAUAUUGUCAUAGCCUAACGGCUGAACCAGCAACUGGGAGGAAUGAAAAGCAUAGCUGAUUGCAAAAAGUAGUUACUACUUGGUAGUUUAAAUUUCUAGGUAGAAUUAUGAUGAUGACAUUAUCUAUCUAUUAGUCUUGACCAAAUUACGUGCCAGCAGUCGCGGUAAUACGUAGAAGACAAGUGUUAUUCAUCUUUAUUAGGUUUAAAAAGUACCAAGACGGUUAAUAAAGCCCAAAAGAAAUGAAUACGGGGGACACAUUAACUAGAGUUAUAUGAAAGGAAGCCAUAAGGUACUGUUGAGUGUAGAGAUGAAAUUUAAUGAUACCAGAUGAGUGGCACAGAUUUAUGCGAAGGCAUCUUCUUAUGUAAUAACUGACGUUGUAGGACGAAGGCUUAGGAAAUUAACAGGAUUUGGUACCCCAGUAAUCUAGGCAGAAAAUGAUGAAUGUCAUAGGUAUUAUUGUGUCUAUAAAUGAAAGUGUAAGCAUUCCACCUCAAGAGUAAUUUGGCAACAUUGGAACUGAAAUCAUUAGACCGUUUCUGAAACCAGUAGUGAAGUAUGUUGUUUAAUUAGAUGAUACACAAAAACCUUACCACAAUUUGAAUAUAUAUAAAAUAUAUUUACAAGCGCUGCACGGCUGUCUACAGUUAAUGUCGUGAGACUUUGGUUAGCUCCAUUAAAUUGACGUAAACCCUAAUUUUAUUUAUAAAUAUAAUUAACAUUGCUAUAUUUGAUGUUUUAAGAGGGAACAUGACAAGUCAUCAUGG